rnacentral:lncRNA from 1 species
UUUUGGUGCCUUGCCUGGGCCGGGGCGAGGCCCGGCGGGAGCCGACUGGGAAGGUAAGACAUCCAUGCAGGUACUAACAGGUCAGCCUGGUAAAUCCUGCGAAGGCUUCAGCACAGGGUGCUGUUGGGGAAAGAGGAGAUGGGGUGUGUAGGGUAAGGGGGAAUAGCAGCUCAUUCCAGACAGGAAAAACUGGGUGCGUAGCCCAGAGGGGAGAAGACAGUCUGUGCACAAGCUCAGUGAAAGGGGAGGGAAUGUCAAGAACGCAGCAGGAGUUGGAAGGGGCAAGGCCCUGCAGCAGAUAUGCAGUCCUGGGACCCUCAGCAUCA